rnacentral:rRNA from 1 species
UACGGUGGGUGCAAGCGUUAAUCGGAAUUACUGGGCGUAAAGCGUGCGCAGGCGGUUUGUUAAGUCCGUUGUGAAAGCCCCGAGCUCAACUUGGGAAUUGCAGUGGAUACUGGCAGGCUGGAGUACGGUAGAGGAAGGUGGAAUUCCCGGUGUAGCAGUGAAAUGCGUAGAUAUCGGGAGGAACACCAGUGGCGAAGGCGGCCUUCUGGACCAGUACUGACGCUCAUGCACGAAAGCGUGGGGAGCAAACAGG